rnacentral:lncRNA from 1 species
CAAUAAUAUUAUUCUAUCAUAAAUAAUAAUAUGAUAAUUAUUAUAAUAUUACAGUACGUUUUUAUCAUUAUUCCAACUGUGACGCACAACUGUUUAUGUGAUCAUCCAUUAUAGGACUAUUCUAACUCUAGUAUGUUUAACUCUCUUAAUCGCACGAGCCUAAUCACUGCCCAAAAUGUUAUAGUCCGAUUAAAAAAUUUAACUAUAUUAUAUCUUAUAUAUAUGACUAUCGGGGUCUCAUAAAUUAAGUGUAAUUUUUUAAAUUACUGGAGAGUAAAAUAAAAUAAAAAUAAGAUAAAUCGCGGUGAAAUUGGUUUAC